GAUCCUGGCUCAGGAUGAACGCUAGCUACAGGCUUAACACAUGCAAGUCGAGGGGCAGCAUGAACUUAGCUUGCUAAGUUUGAUGGCGACCGGCGCACGGGUGAGUAACACGUAUCCAACCUGCCGAUGACUCGGGGAUAGCCUUUCGAAAGAAAGAUUAAUACCCCGAUGGCAUAGUUCUUCCGCAUGGUGGAACUAUUAAAGAAUUUCGGUCAUCGAUGGGGGAUGCGUUCCAUUAGGUUG
rnacentral:rRNA from 1 species